CAGAACGAACGCUGGCGUCAGGCUUAACACAUGCAAGUCGAACGCCCCGCAAGGGGAGUGGCGGACGGGUGAGUAACACGUGGGAACCUGCCCAAUGGUUCGGAAUAACCGCGGGAAACUGCGGCUAAUACCGGAUAAGCCCGAGAGGGGAAAGAUUUAUCGCCGAUGGAGGGGCCCGCGUCCGAUUAGGUAGUUGGUGGGGUAACGGCCUACCAAGCCUACGAUCGGUAGCUGGUCUGAGAGGAUGAUCAGCCACACUGGGACUGAUAUACGGCCCACACUCCUACGGGAGGCAGCAGUGGG
rnacentral:rRNA from 1 species